AACGAACGCUGGCGGCAGGCCUAACACAUGCAAGUCGAACGCUCCGCAAGGGAGUGCGCACGGUGAGUAACACGUGGGACCUACCUUCUGGUACGGAACAACCAAGGGAAACUUUGGCUAAGACCGUAUACGACCUCCGGGUGAAAGAUUGAUCGCCGGAAGAGGGCCCGCGUCCGAUUAGAUAGUUGGUGAGGUAACGGCUCACCAAGCCUUCGAUCGGUAGCUGGUCUGAGAGGAUGACCAGCCAC
rnacentral:rRNA from 1 species